GAUGAACGCUGGCGGCGUGCCUAAUACAUGCAAGUCGAGCGAACAGACGAGGAGCUUGCUCCUCUGACGUUAGCGGCGGACGGGUGAGUAACACGUGGAUAACCUACCUAUAAGACUGGGAUAACUUCGGGAAACCGGAGCUAAUACCGGAUAAUAUAUUGAACCGCAUGGUUCAAUAGUGAAAGACGGUUUUGCUGUCACUUAUAGAUGGAUCCGCGCCGCAUUAGCUAGUUGGUAAGGUAACGGCUUACCAAGGCAACGAUGCGUAGCCGACCUGAGAGGGUGAUCGGCCACACUGGAACUGAGACACGGUCCAGACUCCUACGGGAGGCAGCAGUAGGGAAUCUUCCGCAAUGGGCGAAAGCCUGACGGAGCAACGCCGCGUGAGCGGUGAAGGUCUUCGGAUCGUAAAACUCUGUUAUUAGGGAAGAACAAAUGUGUAAGUAACUAUGCACGUCUUGACGGUACCUAAUCAGAAAGCCACGGCUAACUACGUG
rnacentral:rRNA from 1 species